rnacentral:snoRNA from 1 species
AUUCCAUGGUGAGGACAAUCUGAUAUGUAUCCUUGAAAACCCUCCCAUGCUUCUGAAAUGGUUUCUGUCUUCUGCUGUUGGAAACUGACAAUAUUUCGCUUAAGGCA